rnacentral:rRNA from 1 species
GUAUUUGGUCGUAGACCCGAAACCAGGUGAUCUACCCUUGGUCAGGUUGAAGUUCAGGUAACACUGAAUGGAGGACCGAACCGACUUACGUUGAAAAGUGAGCGGAUGAACUGAGGGUAGCGGAGAAAUUCCAAUCGAACCUGGAGAUAGCUGGUUCUCUCCGAAAUAGCUUUAGGGCUAGCCUCAAGUGAUGAUUAUUGGAGGUAGAGCACUGUUUGGACGAGGGGCCCCUCUCGGGUUACCGAAUUCAGACAAACUCCGAAUGCCAAUUAAUUUAACUUGGGAGUCAGAACAUGGGUGAUAAGGUCCGUGUUCGAAAGGGAAACAGCCCAGACCACCAGCUAAGGUCCCAAAAUAUAUGUUAAGUGGAAAAGGAUGUGGCGUUGCCCAGACAACUAGGAUGUUGGCUUAGAAGCAGCCAUCAUUUAAAGAGUGCGUAAUAGCUCACUAGUCGAGUGACACUGCGCCGAAAAUGUACCGGGGCUAAACAUAUUACCGAAGCUGUGGAUUGUCCUUUGGACAAUGGUAGGAGAGCGUUCUAAGGGCGUUGAAGCAUGAUCGUAAGGACAUGUGGAGCGCUUAGAAGUGAGAAUGCCGGUGUGAGUAGCGAAAGACGGGUGAGAAUCCCGUCCACCGAUUGACUAAGGUUUCCAGAGGAAGGCUCGUCCGCUCUGGGUUAGUCGGGUCCUAAGCUGAGGCCGACAGGCGUAGGCGAUGGAUAACAGGUUGAUAUUCCUGUACCACCUAUAAUCGUUUUA